CCUACGGGAGGCAGCAGUGGGGAAUAUUGGGCAAUGGGCGCAAGCCUGACCCAGCAACGCCGCGUGAAGGAAGAAGGCUUUCGGGUUGGAAACUUCUUUUAAGAGGGAAGAGCAGAAGACGGUACGUCGGGAAUAAGCCACGGCUAACUACGGGCCAGCAGCCGCGGUAAUACGUAGGUGGCAAGCGUUGUCCGGAUUUACUGGGUGUAAAGGGCGGGCAGCCGGGAAGACAAGUCAGAGGGGAAAUCCCGCGGCUCAACCGCGGAACUGCCUUUGAAACUGUUUUUCUUGAGUACCGGAGAGGUCAUCGGAAUUCCUUGUGUAGCGGUGAAAUGCUUAGAUAUCAGGAAGAACACCAGUUGCG
rnacentral:rRNA from 1 species